AUGGCCGCACGGAGCAGAGGCGGCGCUAAUGGGGAGGACGGCGAGCCGGUUGCACGUUGGCGAGCGGAGGAGGCUGUCGCCGGGAACCGUAUGGCCCUCCAGGCUCUCCGGGAGCUCGUGAUUUAUCCCUUCCUCUACGCUCGCCAGUCCCGCCUGCUCGGGCUUAAGUGGCCCAGAGGAUUGCUGCUCUACGGCCCCCCUGGGACAGGAAAGACAAGCCUGGUUCAAGCCAUCGUUCGAGAAUGCAGUGCCCACCUGACAAUGAUCAAUACGUAUUCUGUGCAUAAAGCUCAUGCUGGAGAGGGUGAGAAGUUCCUGCGUGAAGCUUUCUCUGAAGCGUACUCUCAGGCGUCACAGGGCAGACCGGCCAUUAUUUUCAUCGAUGAACUGGAUGCUAUAUGUCCACGCCGUAACAGUAGGAGAGAGCAAGAAUCCCGCAUUGUUGGUCAGCUGCUAACUCUGAUGGAUGGAAAUAAGAAAUCGUCGAAGAAGCUUCCUCACGUAGUUGUUGUCGCGUCAACUAACAGGGUGGAUGCCAUCGAUCCAGCAUUGAGAAGGCCAGGACGUUUUGACUCAGAGAUAGAGGUCACUGUUCCUACGGUAGAAGAAAGGCUGCAGAUUCUUAAGCUUUAUUCCAAAAAUCUGCAUCUUGAUGAAAAUGUUGAUCUUCAAAUUAUCGCUGGAUGGUGCAAUGGUUAUGUUGGUGCUGAUCUAGAAGCUCUGUGUCGAGAAGCUGCCAGACUUGCUUAUCGGAGAUUGUCAAACUCAUCCGAGAAUGGGAAGGUGCUCACACUACUCAUGGAAGAUUGGGAGUCUGCGAAAUCUCAGAUCAAAGCAAGCAUGAUAAGAGGGGUAACUAAAGAAGCUCCAACUGUUUCAUGGGAUGAUAUAGGAGGUUUGAAAGAUCUAAAGAAAAAGCUUCAGCAAGCUGUUGAGUGGCCCAUCAAGCAUGCCACUGCCUUUGCAAGACUGGGGAUAUCACCAGUUCGUGGUGUGCUUUUGCAUGGUCCUCCAGGGUGCUCCAAGACUACCCUUGCCAAGGCUGCAGCACAUGCUGCCCAAGCUUCUUUCUUUUCUUUGAGUGGUGCAGAACUAUACUCGAAAUAUGUUGGAGAAGGUGAAGCUUUGUUGCGAAGAACAUUUCAGAGGGCACGUCUGUCUUCUCCAAGCAUCAUAUUCUUUGAUGAGGCUGAUGCAAUCGCCCCUAAAAGAACUGGUCCUAGUGGGGACAGUGGCAAUGCCACAGUAGGAGAAAGACUCCUAUCAACUUUGUUGACUGAAAUGGAUGGUUUAGAACUGGCUACGGGGAUUAUUGUUUUGGCUGCUACUAAUCGUCCCAAGGCGAUCGAUGCGGCUCUUCUCCGUCCUGGGCGUUUUGAUAUGGUGUUGUACGUUCCACCGCCAGAUGCGCAAGGCAGGCAUGAGAUACUACGCAUCCAUACACGGAAGAUGAAGUUGGGAGAGGAUGUGGACCUUGGGGAGAUAGCGGAGCGCACCGAGCUGUUCACCGGUGCUGAUCUCGAAGGCCUGUGCAGGGAAGCAGGAAUGGCGGCACUGAGGGAAGACCUGUCAGCCAGUUCAAUACACAAGGCUCACUUUGAGGCUGCAAUAAGGUCGCUAAGGCCAUCGCUGACGAAAGCAGAAGUUGAUGAGUACGCAGCUGCUGCCAUCCACGGCCCAUCAGCAGGAAACAUUAGAAUAUGA
rnacentral:rRNA from 1 species